rnacentral:lncRNA from 13 species
AGUGGAAUGUAAUAAAUUGAGUGUUUAUGUCACCCAAGUUUCAUAUGUUGGAACCUAACUCCAAGAUGAUGGUAAUAGGAAAUGGAGCCUUUGGGAGAUGAUUAGGUCAUAAAGACAGAGCCUUCAUAAUCAGAAUUAUUGCCUUUAAAGAGAGUCCUCAGAGUGCUCUCUCAUCACUUCCACUGUGUGAAGAGGUAGCAAGAAGGUGGGUUUUCAUGAGACACCAAGUCUACUGCUGUGUUGAUCUUAAACUUCCCAACCUCAAGAAUUGUAAGAAGUAAAUAUCUGUUGCUAACAAGCCACCCAGUUUUUGUUGUUUUGUUAUAGCAACCUAAAUGGAUCAAGAUGUGGAGUGCUGCAGCUUCAUUUUACUUGCAAGCUGGGAGGGACAAAGACCAACAAUUUUCCACCUACAAAGUGCAUCUAAACUGGCAGGCAGCUCAGUGAAAGCUACAGCCUCAAUAAAAAUAGCACUAGAUCGCCACCCUCCUUCCAACUUCAAAAGAAAACUGUUCAAAUUGAGCCAGAAACCAAGGAAAACAGUAAGCCAAGUUAAUCUAUGUUCUCACCCCACCUCCAGCCCCAGACAACCACAGUAUGCCUUCUGCCCCUACAGACUCAAGAUGGCGCUGUGA